AGAUGCGUUUUGGGAACUCACUGGCUUCGGAUCCCAUAAGAACUCCGAAGUUAAGCGAGUUCGAGCGAGAGCAAUCCUAGGAUGUGUGACCCCCUGGGAAAUUCUCGUGACGGAACCCAAGAACAAAUCCGUAAGGGCGUGGCCCAAAGCGGACAAUAUCUUGUUAUGCAGACUGAGAUGUGACAAUUUGGUAUCAAAGCCACUUUGCCGUUCUGUGCAGAUGUGCCGGCGAGAAUGCCAGGUUCCCCUUAAAUAGGGUGGAUUGUAAGAUCCCACAUCGACCAACAAAGAGAAGGUGAUGUGCCUUAUAUAUACAUACUCACCUCCCAUUGCAAGACGUGUUUUGGGAACUCAUUGGCUCUGGAUCCCAUAAAAACUCCGAAGUUAAGCAAGUUCGGGUGAUAGCAAUAUUAGGAUUGGUGAUCCCUGGAAAGUUCUCAUUCUGAAACCC
rnacentral:sRNA from 1 species